rnacentral:rRNA from 1 species
ACCACCAAGGCUAAGACGGGUAGCUGGUCUGAGAGGAUGACCAGCCACACUGUGACUGAGACACGGCCCAGACUCCUACGGGAGGCAGCAGUGGGGAAUAUUGGACAAUGGGCGAAAGCCUGAUCCAGCCAUGCCGCGUGAGUGAUGAAGGUCUUCGGAUCGUAAAGCUCUGUGGGAAGGGACGAAAAGCCUAACCUAAUACGUUAGGUCUUGACGGUACCUUCUUAGCAAGCACCGGCUAACUCCGUGCCAGCAGCCGCGGUAAUACGGAGGGUGCAAACGUUGCUCGGAAUUAUUGGGGCGUAAAGCGCACGUAGGCGGUCCGCUAAGUCGGAUGUGAAAGCCCCUCGGCUUAAACCGAGGAAGUGCAUCCGAAACUGACGGGCUAGAGUACGGAAGAGGGUUUCGGAAUUCCCGGUGUAGAGGUGAAAUUCGUAGAUAUCGGGAGGAACACCAGUGGCGAAGGCGGAAACCUGGGCCGAUACUGACGCUGAGGUGCGAAAGCGUGGGGAGCAAACAGGA